UUCUAGAUCUUACUUUCCACUUCUGUAAAAAUGAGGGCAGUUGGACUAGGUCAUCUCUCCGAGCUCUGACAUUCUCUGUUCUAAGAUCCUUCCCAGCUCUGACAUUCUGUGUUCUAAGGUCUCUCCCAGCUCUGACAUUCUCUGUUCUAAGAUCUCUCCCAGCUCUGACAUUCUCUGUUCUAAGGUCUCUCCCAGCUCUGACAUUCUGUUCUAAGCUCUCUCUCAGCUCUGACAUUCUCUGUUCUAAGGUCCCUCCCAGCUCUGACAUUCUGGGUUCUAAGGCCCCUCUUAGCUUGGACAUCCCAUGUUCUAAGAUUUCUCUGACAUUCUAUGUUCUAAUAUCAUGUGGUCUAAAGCCCCUUUUGGCUCUAUGAUUCUGGGGAGCAAAAAAUGUCUUCUUACUUACAACAGGAAGUAAGGCUGCUAUAGAUAGGAGGGGGGGAAGGCUCGAGGUGGAUAAAUGGCCUGAGGCCCCUUCCAGUUCUUGAUCACAUACCAAAGAAUCUAGUGAAGAUACCCCUGAAAUGGUUUCUUUUGUUGGCUGUGUGGAGGACUGAGUCACUAAAUAGAAUUCUUGCUAUAUUCUAGCUUCUGGGCUGAAACGAAGAGAUUUCUUCCUCCCCCAAAUUUCGAGGGGAAUUUUCCAAGUCAAGUCAACAUCUGUUAUUAAGAACAUUUUUUAAAGUUCCCACUUUGCAUCAGGCAGGGGAUGUACAGAGGAAGAUAAGCAAGAAUCUCUGCCCCAGGGACUCCCUGGUUAGGAAAGAAAGGACAUACCCAGAGUUAAAGGCUGAAAAAGGGACAUAUCAGCAGAGCAGAAUAAUUGCUGGAUCAACCAAGUAAGGAAUGAAGUAAUCAUAGAGGAAUAAGCUCAAUCAAAGAAAGCUUCUUGGAGGAGGCAACUUGUAUUUGUCAGACCUGUUUUCCAAAAUAGAUCAAAUGUUAACAGUUGAGGAAUUAUUAGUUAGGAUGAGACCUCAAAAGAGAGAAUGUCAGAGGUCUUAAGAGUAAUGAAUCCUGGGGCUGUGAGAGGCCAUAGAACAUAGAAUGUUAGGGCUGUGAGGUUUCUGAGAACACACAUGUGGAAGCUGAGAACAACCUAGAAACCAUCUAGUCUGUCUUCAUUUUAUCAUGGUAUGUGACAAUUAGGAAGAACCUUAGAACACAGGAUGUGAACAUUGGAAGAAGUCUCAGAACAUAGAAUUUUAUAGUGAGAGAAGGGGAACCUUAGAACACGAAAUGUGAGAGCUAGAUGAGCCUUAGGACAAAGAACAUCAGAGCUAGAGGGACCUUGAAACAGAGAAUGUCAGAGCUGG
rnacentral:lncRNA from 1 species